GGUUGUAUAGUGUAGUUGGUUAUCACAUCGGAUUCUGAUGAAUUUCCAAUUCGUAGACUUCCGGGGACCUGAGUUCGAAUCUCGGUACGACCU